CGCGUGAGCGAUGAAGGCCUUCGGGUCGUAAAGCUCUGUCCUCAAGGACGAUAAUUGGACCGGUACUCUGAGGAGGAGCCCACGGCUAACUACGUGCCAGCAGCCGCGGUAAUACGUAGGGUGGCUAGCGUUGUCCGGAUUUACUGGGCGUAAAGGGUGCGUAGGCGGAUUCUUAAGUCAGAUGUGAAAGGCUCCGGCUCAACCGGAGUACUGCUUUGAAAACUGGAAAUUUAAAGGGCGGAAAAGAAAGUGGAAAUUCCUAGGGAACGGGGAAAAUGCGAAAAGAUUAGAAAAACCACCAUUGGCAAAGGCGAUUUUUUGAACGGAACUUGACCUUGAGGAUUAAAAGGGGGGGAAGCAACCAGGAUUAAAUCCCUGGAAGCAA
rnacentral:rRNA from 1 species